AGUCCCGGGAUCCGGCUCAGCGCCAGGCAGGGCUAAGGGCCACCCGAGCGGAUUCGGCCCCGCGGUCAGGGCCAAGCUGGGCUCCGGCGCUGCUGCUCCCGCGGCGCCGACUGGAGCUCCAGAGCCCCUCCCGUCUCUACCUGCUCGAGCUCCCGAAGUCGCCGCGCCUUAACGCGCCGUGUCGGGGCCGCAGGCGCCACUAGGGAAGCCCAGCUCCCCGCUGGAAGGACGCUCCGGACACUGCGAAUGAAUGACGACAACGCGGCUCACUUGGAGCGGGUCCGGGUUUGUGCGGACUCGGUACCACCGCGGGCUCCGCGCGCCGAGCUGAGCAGCUGUGGCUGGCUUCGGGGGAACCUUCGGGGGAAGCUCCUGGGGACCGUGUGCCAAGCACUGGGCCCGACGCCCAUCCCAGCAGGGAGGACGCCGCCAGCCUGCGUGGGAGAUCUGGAGGAUAGUUCAGCCAAAAAAAAAAAAAAAAAAAAAAAAAAAAAAGUUCCUCUUCCCAAAUGAUGGGAAUUUAGCAGACUCUGCUUUGUUGUGGAUGCUGGGCAAUCCUAGGGACUUUUCCCUUUCCAAAUGAGCAGAGAUUCAAAUGAAACCUUCUUGUGUGGGCUUCAAAAUUGUGACUUUUGUAGCUCCGACUUGAAUUGUUGAAUUCCUUCAAUUAGUCGAAUGAGCAAAUCACCAGCCAUUCUAAUGAGACUGCCAUUUCAUCUGUUCGCUUCCUACCGCUUGGGCUCUCAAGGAAUGGAAGUUUCCCUUGAUGUUACCACACAGACUGAUCUGCUUCUUCCAGGCAUCAGUGGAAACCUCAUGUAUUUAACACAGACUCAAAAAACUCAUUUGGCACUUUUGGUCACAGUGCAGUGCCUUCAGUCACAAAAUCUGCAAAUAAAAAGCAAACAAUAAGAUUAUAAGUCAUACAUAUGCAAAAAUUAUAUUAAUAUAUCAUGUAACUUUUAUAUUUUUGAAGUGUUUCCAUAGGUAUUCUUUUACUUGAUAUAAUUGGUAUUUUUAAAAACUCUAAGUGCCUUAAUACCAUGUUGGGGUUUGGAAAAUGAUACCACAAAGCAUGGUGCUUUGGCAUGCUGAGUACUUUGAACUAAAGGAGAUUGAAAGGCCUCAGAAGCAGUUUCUCUCUGACCUCCUUCUGCCCUCCUGUCUCCCACCUCUCUUUCUCCCCCAAAGUGAGUCAUGGAAACUAAAGGCAGGUCAUAGAAACUAAAACCCCUCUUCCCAAAGGAAGCUACAAAACCUAGAAAUAUUACCAUUCCUCACUCUUCUGUGUAAGAGCAGACAUAAAGAAUAGAGAAAUAAAGAAAUUAUCUACCCUACCUUGUUGGAUAGUAGGUCCCCUUUCCAAAGGAGUCCUGCUCUAAACCCAGGAGGAGGGAAAGCUAUACGGAGAGGCCAAGAAGAAUCUGAACAGACAGACUGGGUCUGUUCUCAGUCUAUUACCAUUGGAUCUUACCCUUUUGUCCAACCACAUCUACAUGGCUGCCCACUCUUCAUUGAACCUAAGCACAAAAAUGGACAGAGCGAGACUCUCUCAAAAAAAUAAACAGGCUGGGCAUGGUGGCUCAUGCCUGCAACCCCAGCAUUUUGGUAGGCAGAGCCAGGAGGACCCCAUCUGUAUUAAACCAGAGAGACCCCAUCUCUAUUAAAAAAAAAUAGACAGGUUUCCCUGGGUUUUUCCGUCUUCAUUUCUGAAGGUUCCCAUGUCACCUAAAACUUUGAUUAAAC
rnacentral:lncRNA from 1 species